GCCAGGGUUGGCCAGGACCUGGCCUGCGUAGGGACUCUCGCUCCAGUCGGGUCCGAGGUUGGUGAGCACUUCGCCCGCGGGAGAUCAAGCUCAGGCCUCCCGGUACUAGUGGUUAUAAAGAGUACCCAUCUGCUCCCUGCCACCUCCGCCAAAGACGGGCUAAAGGAAGAGAAAAAGCAAACACCAGGAGCCGCGGCAGGUGUGCCACGUGUCCAAAUCAUUUGCGUCACAAUGACCUGGCCUACAGGUGGGAGCAGCAGCGAACGCCCCGGGGUGCCCACUGUGCUGUGCUUAGCGCGUGCUGCUUGCUUCCACUGCAGACUGCCGUGGCUUUAGAGGACAGGAGACUUCAUGACUUCAAUGCCAAGGAAAGUUACAGAGCACUGUACCUGGGAAUCAAGUUUGGGCUUAAAGUAAAGAGGCUCUGUGGAAAAAAAAAAAAAAACUGUAUACGUAUUUUUCAUUCCCAUAUAUUCAUAUAUCUUUUAUACUUAAGUUACUGACGCUUAUAGUAAUUUCAUCUUCUCUUAUUCUUUGUUAUCAGGAAAGAACCAAACACUUCUUUUUUGAGUACCCUGCAGUGAUCACAUGAAGAAAUGGUGUUGGAAUAGUUCCUUCUUAAAAUCAUCUACGUUGAAAAGCAGUCGCAAUGUGCUAUGACUCAUCCCUGAUUGUGUUAUAUAUUUAUUAAAAAGUUCAUUGAAUAGUCA